UUUGUUUUGUUUUUCUUCUCUCUGUUUUUUCCACUUUUAGUUUUCUCACAUUUUCUUCCAUUCUGAUUUCUUUAAUUUUCUUACAUUUUUAUUUCAAAUUUCAAACCAGAACAGUUUCUGACAAAGCCACCACGCCGGAACUCUCCUGCUACCGCCGUGGUAAUCUUAUUAUCCAUCGGUGAGUUUCCGGUUGCUUUAUUUAGUUCAAUUUCAUGCUUCAUUCUGGGAUGAUAAAACUAUGCUAAGCAAUAGUCUCACAUCUUCUUAUCAUCAAAAGUUAAAAUGAACACAUUUUAGAAAUGAAAAAAAUAUAUAUGAUUUCACAGCGGUCUUUUCUAUUUUUCCUCGACAAUCUAAAACUAUGCUCAACAUUAUUGAAGUUUUUUAUUUUGACAAGGAUUGUUGAAGAUUUGUUGUUAGGGUGACAGUUGUUGUGUUCAAUUUCUAAUUUUGGUGUGUUUGCUGUCGUUGGUUUGUUGUGUUAUUUUUUGGACCGCUGCUGAUGAUCACCCUCUCCUGUGCUUGUCGUGAACAUUAAAACCUUUCGGACUGCUGAUCAAUUAUUUAUUCUCGGCUAGAUCCGAGAAAUUGUGAAAUCAUGAUUUUGCUUUAAAUAUUGGAAAUGAUUCGGGAUCUCUUGACUUCAAGAGUAACUCUGAAAUGAGUUUCUCCGUUCAAUCGUUAUGUACUUGGUUCUGUACUUUUUAUGCCCUUUUAAUGUUUUUGUGAAAAUUUAAUCUUAAUACUCUGAUUUACCUUAUGCACAGUCGACUUCCAUUUUUUUCAAACAUGAAAAUGUGUAUUGUUGUCUCUCUUAUUAUGUCUUGUGCUAUAAUUUGUAGCAGAUAUUGGACUACAAUGUGCCUGGAGUUAGGAUUUGAGUUUUAUUCUUUUUAAAGUUUGUAACAAGUAACUUAUAACGUGUUUAGAUUGACGGUGAGAUUGACCUAACCACAGGGACACCAUGAUUUUGUAAAAGUUUUGAAGUGUAGUUUUUGUUAAAAUCACUGUCAAUUUAAACAUACACUUCUAAGUUUAUUGUAACCAUCGUUGUUAUGAAAAGGAGAGGUGGUUCACUAUUCAGGAUGCAUUUAUUAAAUAUAUAGAGCUUAUUGACAUAAAGAUGUGUGUUACAACUUAUAUUGCAAGGAAGCUGAACUGCAGACUUUCAGUUAUUGACAACUACAGGUUUUUAAAAGAAUAUGCAUUAAAUGUUGAUGAAAUUUUCCUUGCUAGGACUCUCGGUUCAUCUAUUAAAUGGGUAUGACAAUUGAAAUUGUUUAAUUUCACAAGUUUCCUGUGGUGGCACCAAGGAAUAUUACAAUAGUCACGUGAUGAUUUUGCAGCUUCAGACAUAUUUUCAUUUUCUUGAUGAUAGUGUUAGCCUCUAAAUUUAACACUCAUUUAAUAUGGUUGAUAUUUGUUUGACCUUUUAUUUUGCAGGAAUCGAAGAGUUUUCUCAUUUUAAUUGAAGAAUCUCGACAAAACAUUAAGCCUAGGGCGCAUAGUCAGAAUUUCGACGAAGCAAGGCUGAAAGAGCAAUCUCGCGUCGAAGUUAAACAAAAGGCGGGAAAGCACGAUUUCAAGCAUUGAAACGGUUUCUAUGUAGUGGAGUGGAUAGGCAGUUGUCCAGGAUGGAGGAAGUGCUGAUAAUGAAGUUAGAGGUUCGCCAUCUAGAUUUUGGUAUAAAUAAGAGUUUCCAAGCCGGAUAGUGGAUCGCAAAUCAUAUACAGAAUUCUACAACACUCAAACUACUAGCGUCUAGGGAAACGAGUUAUACAGAAUGUAUGUAAAUUGAAUUGUAGACCACCCCUUUUAUUUUAAUGCAAUGCAUUUUACCUUUUCUUUGAGUUUAC
rnacentral:lncRNA from 1 species